CCUACGGGUGGCAGCAGUGAGGAAUAUUGGUCAAUGGGCGGGAGCCUGAACCAGCCAAGCCGCGUGAGGGAAGAAGGUACAGCGUGUCGUAAACCUCUUUUGUCAGGGAACAAAGGCGGGGACUAGUCCCCGGAUGAGGGUACCUGAAGAAAAAGCAUCGGCUAACUCCGGGCCAGCAGCCGCGGUAAUACGGAGGAUGCGAACGUUAUCCGGAUUUAUUGGGGUUAAAGGGUGCGCAGGCGGCCUGUUAAGUCAGGGGGAAAAGCGCGGGGCUCAACCCCGGCGCGCCGUUGAAACUGGCGGGCUGGAGUGGGAGAGAAGUACGCGGAAUGCGCGGUGUAGCGGUGAAAUGCUUAGAUAUCGCGCAGAACCCCGAUUGCGAAGGCAGCGUACCGGCUCCACACUGACGCUGAGGCACGAAAGCGUGGGUAUCGAACAGGAUUAGAUACCCUGGUAGUC
rnacentral:rRNA from 1 species